rnacentral:rRNA from 1 species
GUGUCAGCCGCCGCGGUAAGACGUACUGCGCGAACGUUAUUCGGAAUCACUGGGCUUAAAGGGUGCGCAGGCGGCUCUCCAAGCCCGUGGUGAAAGGCUCCGGCCCAACCGGGGACGUGCUUCGGGGACUGGAGAGCUCGGGCGAGCUAGGGGUCUGUGGAACUCCCGGUGGAGCGGUGAAAUGUGUUGAGAUCGGGAGGAACGCCGGUGGCGAAAGCGACAGACUGGGGCUUGGCCGACGCUCAUGCACGAAAGCCAGGGGAGCGAACGGGAUUAGAUACCCUGGUAGUCC